rnacentral:rRNA from 1 species
UACGGGGGGGAGCAAGCGUUGUUCGGAUUUACUGGGCGUAAAGGGCGCGUAGGCGGUCAGCACAAGUCAGUUGUGAAAUCUCCGGGCUUAACUCGGAAAGGUCAACUGAUACUGUGCGACUAGAGUGCAGAAGGGGCAACUGGAAUUCUCGGUGUAGCGGUGAAAUGCGUAGAUAUCGAGAGGAACACCUGCGGCGAAGGCGGGUUGCUGGGCUGACACUGACGCUGAUGCGCGAAAGCCAGGGGAGCGAAGCGGG